AGAAAUUUAGGUUAUAUAGACCAAGAGCCUUCAAAGCCCUAAGAAAGCAGACACAUGCUUAAUUUCUG
rnacentral:tRNA from 1 species